rnacentral:rRNA from 1 species
AUAUUGGUCAAUGGACGCAAGUCUGAACCAGCCAUGCCGCGUGAAGGAUGAAGGCCUUCUGGGUUGUAAACUUCUUUUAUUGGGGAAGAAAACUACGGUUUCUACUGUAGCCGACGGUACCCAAGGAAUAAGCACCGGCUAACUCCGUGCCAGCAGCCGCGGUAAUACGGAGGGUGCAAGCGUUAUCCGGAUUCACUGGGUUUAAAGGGUGUGUAGGCGGAUAUUUAAGUCAGAGGUGAAAUCUCCAGGCUCAACCUGGAAACUGCCUUUGAUACUAUUUAUCUUGAAUUUUGUUGAGGUAGGCGGAAUAUAUCAUGUAGCGGUGAAAUGCAUAGAUAUGAUAUAGAACACCGAUUGCGAAGGCAGCUUACUAAGCAAACAUUGACGCUGAGGCACGAAAGCGUGGGGAUCAA